rnacentral:lncRNA from 1 species
AAAAAGCAAAACCUAGGUAUUCAGCCCAACAGCCGUAGCCUCCCUUGGCCCCUGCUUCCUUCCGUGGCCGCACCAGGCACAGCCGCCGCAGGCGCACAAGACGUCCGCUCCCGCCCGGCCGCCUGCUCGUCGUUACGUGCACCCGCCGCGACCGCCUCCGUAUGGCUGGCCGCCGGCUAUCCGAAUACGACUGCGCACCCGUGCCUUACGGAGUCACCGCCUCGCAGGUUCUAGCCUCGCGCGCUUGCUAGCCUGCUGGUUGGCCGUGCUUCGCCAGACGACUACUGCUUGGUGCUCAGUUUGCUGCUUACUAGCCUGCUUCGGCUGCUUGCUUGGCUUAGCUGCUUGCAAGCCUGUUGCUAGUUGCUAGACGGCCUCUUCCCUAGCCUGCUUUUGCUGCUUGCUAGUUGCUAGCCUGCUGCCCUGCUUGAUUUCAAAAAGAUUGGUUUGAGCAAUAUAAUUGGUUGGAAUACAGUUUGGUAAAUGAUAGAGCUUAUUGUUUUUGUUGUAUUAAAUUUAGCUCUUUAUUUUAGUACUAAUUUAUGCUUCCUCUUUGUUUGACAGCUUAUAUUUGGUUAAAUUGCUGAUUUGACAUAU